CCUACGGGUGGCAGCAGUCGAGAAUCAUUCACAAUGGGGGAAACCCUGAUGGUGCGACGCCGCGUGGGGGAAUGAAGGUCUUCGGAUUGUAAACCUCUGUCAUGUGGGAGCAAAUCAAAAAGAUAGUACCACAAGAGGAAGAGACGGCUAACUCUGUGCCAGCAGUCGCGGUAAUACAGAGGUCUCAAGCGUUGUUCGGAAUCACUGGGCGUAAAGUGUGCGGAGGCUGUUUCGUAAGUCGUGUGUGAAAGGCGCGGGCUCAACCCGCGGACGGCACAUGAUACUGCGAGACUAGAGUAAUGGAGGGGGAACCGGAAUUCUCGGUGUAGCAGUGAAAUGCGUAGAUAUCGAGAGGAACACUCGUGGCGAAGGCGGGUUCCUGGACAUUAACUGACGCUGAGGCACGAAGGCCAGGGGAGCGAAAGGGAUUAGAUACCCUGGUAGUC
rnacentral:rRNA from 1 species